rnacentral:lncRNA from 1 species
UUCAUCCUCUCAAGGUUUCUCUUUCAUUAUUCUCUCUCUUUUUUGUUUUUUAAUUUGUACUCCUUUCUAUUAAGUAUUCAUCAAGUGGGUGUGGAAUCUAAAAUUUAUUUUCUCCUGGACAACUUUGUGAAUCUAAAAUCCUCUUUUAUUUAUUAUUGUUUUGGAGUGAUUAAUUCACAAGAAAAGUCAAUGUGUUGGGUGGGGGAUUUGGGAGGUUUUUUGUUAACGACUAAGAACAAGGUUUAUUUUGCAAGUAGGUUUAUAGUUGUGAAUUUUGUUGUAGUUGGUUGUUGAUCAGUGGGUUUUUGCUGGAUUUCAUCUUUGGGUUGCUGAUUGAAGUAAUGAUGUAUCCGGUUGUAUUCCUAAGUGCAGUUUAACAAUUCUAAGUGUGAGAGUUUGAGUUCUUCUUAGUGUGACUGGCUAUGAAAUUUUCUAAGUGUGAGAGUUUGAGUUCUUCUUAGUGUGACUGGCUAUGAAAUUACGCUAUGCUGUGUAGUCUGUGUCUUUCUUUUCAAAGAUUUGAGUAUUUGAAAGUUCAUAUAUUCAUCUCUACUUCAUCAUUGCAUCUACAAUUGAGACUAAUCAAUUUUGAAUUAAAAGUAGGUCAAAUUAGUUCAUAAAGUACUUCUUUGUGUUGCUUACUUGAAAAUUUGUCAUCUUGUGAAUUUCAACUGUGCGUUUCUACAACAAGUUAUCAUAUUCUUGCCUAAAGAUAUGUUGUAUCAUACAUGUUGUAACUGCUGUGGCACUUUAAACAUCCCUUAAUGUGAUGCUCCCGUGAACGCAAACAAUGUAUAUUUUGUUCAAAAUGUAUGUAAAUUAAGUGUGUAUCACUUAGUAUGAAAUAUUUUGUCAAAGCAGGCCCAUGCUCAGCUUAUUCACCAAAUGAAAGAAUUAGAGCUUUUACAAAGGUAAAAAUGAAGUAAAAAACUCACAUCUGCCAUAUUCUUCAUCUUCUGUGUAGGAUCAAAAAUGCUUCUGACAAAGGCACCCAAAUCCAGAAAACUCUAUGAUAAACAUAAAAGUAACUACAACCAAAAUCAUGUUGGGCCUGUGCUGGCACAGGCCAUCAUCGCCUAGUUUAUAUAGAAAAGAGGAGAGAAGGAUUUACAAUAGCUAUAUGUGCAACAUGCAUGUAUAUAUAUAUAUAGCAAUUACAAACAAGAAACAAAAGAAAGCACAUCCUACACCUAGCUAGUUUUACAUUUGGUCUAUCAAUGUGCAACUACAUUUCAAUACAAGGUCUGAUACAGUGGGAAGUAGGAACUAACUUAUACUUAAUUGUUUGACUGGUCCAACAUCACUGCAAAUCUUAAUCCAUGAAUCACUACACAGGAUUUUAGCAUUUUGAAGCGUGUAGCCAUGAAAUAUGGGUAGUGGAUAUCCUCUACUAAGUUUUAAAUUUAUGUAUGGCAGUAUCACAGUCCGCAUUGCAGUUGACAUCAGCACCUGCAACAGUUUUCAGGAUUCGGGUCAGUUUUAUCAUCACCUAAAGAAAGGAACUGUCACAGAAAUGGGAUGAAACAAAUACGAGGGCCACUGCUUUAGCAUUUACAGAGGGCCAUUUGCUGUUCUAACUUAGAGCGGCAAAUGACUUGACUAGCAGAGAGACAGCAAAUCAUCAGAAAGGGAGACUACAAAUCGGCUUAGUAUCCUCCUUGAAUCAUCCAUGACUAGUUACAUACACACUAUUCACUACUGAAUGUAUUUAUCAUGCUAGCACUGAU